rnacentral:piRNA from 1 species
UGGUUAAAGGCUAUUCGACGCGAAAAA